rfam:Schizophyllum commune H4-8 unplaced genomic scaffold SCHCOscaffold_1, whole genome shotgun sequence.
GCCCGCCUAGCUCAAUCGGCUAGAGCGUCAGACUUUUACGAACAGUGAAACAUCUGAAGGCUGCGAGUUCGACCCUCGCGGUGGGCU